rnacentral:lncRNA from 1 species
GGCGGCUCCGGCGACGAGCGGUAGCGGGAGCGGGAGCAUCGUGCUGUCAGAGGGCGCGUCGUCCUCCUCCUCCUCCUCUCGGGACUCUCCGCUGGCACCGAGUCUGGCGCUUCCGGCCACGGCCGCCGCGCAGCCCUGCCAUCUGUUCCUGGACCCAACGACGACGACGGUGAUGGUCGUGGCGCCGGCGCUGCUGCAGUUCCUGCCGCCGAAGAGCGAGGAGGAGCAUAGCUUCGCAGGGUCGAGCUCCUCGCCGCCCGUGGUGUUUGACUCGGCGCCGCCGGCCGUGGGCCUGGGGCUGGACCUGAACCUGGCGCUGCCGGCGCCAGGGACGAUGGUGGUGUAGCGGACAGACUAAUCAAUUGGUUAAUUGCAUACAGUAGGAAUUAGCUGAUGAUGGAUCCAGAUGCCAUCAGGCCAGUGUAAAAUAGGCUGCAGAUUUGUGAACGCAGC